AGGAGCCUGCCCUAUAAUCGAUUAUCCCCGCUAGACCCUACCAUCUCUUGCCAAUCAGCUUGUAUACUUCCGUCGUAAGCUUACCAUGUGAAAGACCAAUAGUGGGCCUAAUGUNCCGUUYCACCAGUANNUCNGGUCAAGGUGCACCCUAUGAAAUGGGANGGGUGGGCUACAWUUUCUAUAAACUAAAACACACAAAANCCCUGCAUGAAAACCCAAAAAUGAAGGUGGAUUUAGUANUAAAAAGAAAAUANAUUGUUCUUUUUAAUGAGGCGCUGGGGCAANUAC
rnacentral:rRNA from 1 species